GAAUUCACUAGUGAUUCAGGCCUAACACAUGCAAGUCGAACGGUAACAGGAAACAGCUUGCUGUUUCGCUGACGAGUGGCGGACGGGUGAGUAAUGUCUGGGAAACUGCCUGAUGGAGGGGGAUAACUACUGGAAACGGUAGCUAAUACCGCAUAACGUCGCAAGACCAAAGAGGGGGACCUUCGGGCCUCUUGCCAUCGGAUGUGCCCAGAUGGGAUUAGCUAGUAGGUGGGGUAACGGCUCACCUAGGCGACGAUCCCUAGCUGGUCUGAGAGGAUGACCAGCCACACUGGAACUGAGACACGGUCCAGACUCCUACGGGAGGCAGCAGUGGGGAAUAUUGCACAAUGGGCGCAAGCCUGAUGCAGCCAAGGGGCGUGUAUGAAGAAGGCCUUCGGGUGUAAAGUAUAUGAGCGGGGAGGAAGGGAGUAAAGUUAAUACCUUGUCA
rnacentral:rRNA from 1 species